rnacentral:lncRNA from 1 species
UCACCGCGCCAAGCACUACGCACCUCUGGGACGCGUCGUUGCGGGGGGGUGGGGGGGCUGGGGCGCCUCCACGACGCCUGGUCUGCCCGGCAAGUGCUUGGUGUCGUUGGUGGGUUCGUAGCUGCGACAGGUAAACGUCCGUUCCGCGAGCCGGGCAAGGCAACCCCUGCGGGUCGCACCCGAAGGCCGGACCUCUCUAUAUUUCCUGUCUCAGUUUCUCCUGAAUUUGACCCACAGCUGGAGUGCGAGCUGGGCAAGUAGGUGCUGGGCAACUUCUGGGGAGACUCAGGCCUCCUUAUUGGCCAUCACAAAGCCCCAGAGAAAAAGAUGCUUCCAAAAACUGCAAGAUAAGAGGAACAGACUGCUGCCCAUGCUCCUCUGCCCUGCUGAGCACUCUGGGAGAUGGACCUGGUUGGACACUAGAGCUCCACCCUGCAGCUUUCAGGUGGGCUCAGUAGAUGGGGAUCCUGGAGGAGACUGUAGAGCAGCUGCUGGCACAGUUGUCCUGGAGCUACCUGGGCCCAGAUGCCCCAGCUCUCUCCAUGCAGACCUUUCUACCUACCUCUCCUCUCAUACUGGGCUGUCCGUGUAGGUCGUUAAUGUUCCUCCUGCCUCUUCACUGAUGCUGACUGUGCCAGG